AAAAUAAAAAAAUGAAAUUGACUGAAGUUAAGGCUGUUUUGUAACUUCUUCAGAAAGGAGAAUAUAAAUGCUAGAAGAUCCGUUGAAAUACUCUGAAAGGUGGAAUUUCCCAAGAAAACAAAUAACCAAGCCAGAUUCUGGAAGUGACGCUCAAACUUCAGUGUGCACCCACACACAGAUACCAGGUGCACCCUAGAACUUCUGAUUGGCAGAUCAGAAGUGGGGCCUGAGGAUUUGCACUCGAACAAGUUCCCAGUUGAUGCUGAUUCAGCUGGUCUGGAUAUCACGCUUUGAGAACCAUGAGAUUAUAACACUGCUUUAGCCUGCUCAAAGGGGUGCUUGGGUGCUAGUGCUGUCGUGACCCAGAUCAUUGAACCUCUCUGACAUCCCGUUUUCUCAGCUCUACAAUGAGAGUAAGAUGGAUGAUUUUCAGGGACCUAGUCACACUCGAUUUCAAAGGAUUUUGAGGAGCCUGAUGCAGAACGUUUUGUGCCACUUACAUUUUUGGUUCCCUACAUGUGAACCAGCUCAGUGGUUACACCUCCUCAGGGCGGCUGCUCCCUCCUCACACUGGAAGCCACUGCUCCAGCUCUGGCGGAGGGAACCUCAGGUCCUGCUGAAAGAGCGGUCGGGGUCCAAGUUUCCCAAAGCCUGACUGAUAAUGGCAGGCUGCAGUCUAAAGCAACACCUUUGAAUGCAGGCAUUUAUGAUGAAGGAAGGCACCGAUCCUGGCACCACAUUUUGGGUACCUGCCAUCAUCUUCUCCCUCAUCUUCUUUGCCCUGUUCUUUGUGCUAGGAAGUCUGGCCCACAUGCAAUACAUCAAUGAAUCUUUGACCUUUGAUUUCUGAAGGUAUCAUAUCUGCCAGUUGUGGAGCCUCAGCAAGAGAUCAGAUCUCAGGAGAAGAGUGAGCUCACUGCAUUCUUUACCUGGCUCUCUUUCUGAAGCUUGCCUGGGUCUGGCUGUCCCCUCAAAUGAAAGUAAUUGUUUCUCUUCUUGUGAUUUCUCUAAGUGAUUCUUUCUCUCUAGUUCCUUACAGUUCUUUCCGGUUUCUUCAGGCCCACGGUUGGUGGCAAUUGCUCCCUGUCCACAGCCCAGAGUUGCUUGCCCACACCCUCAAAAUAUGUAGUUCCUUUGUAAAUAAACCCGCCUUUAA